rnacentral:rRNA from 1 species
UACGUAGGGUGCGAGCGUUGUCCGGAAUUAUUGGGCGUAAAGAGCUUGUAGGCGGUUUGUCGCGUCUGCCGUGAAAAUCCGGGGCUCAACCCCGGACUUGCGGUGGGUACGGGCAGACUAGAGUGUGGUAGGGGAGACUGGAAUUCCUGGUGUAACGGUGAAAUGCGCAGAUAUCAGGAGGAACACCGAUGGCGAAGGCAGGUCUCUGGGCCACUACUGACGCUGAGAAGCGAAAGCGUGGGGAGCGAACAGG